rnacentral:rRNA from 1 species
AUGCGCCAGUGCGAAGCAAGGCGCCCAUCGCCCGUCGCCCAUGCCAAUCCUCCUCGGCUCGUUAUCGUCUCUGUUAGGCAGACAGGGCAAACCAUUGCUAUUAGGAAGGUUCUUCAGGAUAAGCAGUACAAGAACCGCGAGCUUCGGACCAAACACCUACAUGACCACCCAAAUGUCGUAGCUCUGAAGCAUUGUUUCUUUUCUACAACUGAGAAGGAUGAAAUUUUGCUGAACUUGGUUCUCGAGUAUGUAUAUCGCAUUACCGCACUACCUCCUUAG